rnacentral:rRNA from 1 species
AACGAACGCUGGCGGCGUGCCUAACACAUGCAAGUUGAGCGCGAAAGGGAGCAAUCCCCGGUAGAGCAGCGCACGGGUGAGUAACACGUGAGUAAUCUUCCUUCGUGUCAGGAAUAACCACUGGAAACGGUGGCUAAUACUCGAUAAGCCCACAACCCCCUCGGGGGAGUGAGGGAAAAGGGGGGACGGCAAGCCUCUCGCACGAAGAUGAGCUCGCGGUCCAUUAGCUAGUUGGCGGGGUAAUGGCCCACCCAAGGCGAUGAUGGAUAGCUGGUCUGAGAGGACGAUCAGCCACACUGGGACGUGAGACACGGCCCAGAUCCUACGGGAGGCAGCAGUGGGGAAUCUUGCGCAAUGGCGAAAGUCUGACGCAGCAACGCCGCGUGAGUGAUGAAGGUACUUU